rnacentral:rRNA from 1 species
ACGGGAGGCAGCAGUGAGGAAUAUUGGUCAAUGGAGGCAACUCUGAACCAGCCAUCUCGCGUGAAGGAAUACGGCCCUACGGGUCUUAAACUUCUUUUAUAGGGGGAUAAAGUGAGGCAUGUAUGCCUUUUUGUAGGUACCCUAUGAAUAAGCAUCGGCUAACUACGUGCCAGCAGCCGCGGUAAUACGUAGGUUGCAAGCGUUGUCCGGAUUUACUGGGUGUAAAGGGCGUGUAGGCGGAGCUGCAAGUCAGAUGUGAAAUCCCGGGGCUCAACCCCGGAACUGCAUUUGAAACUGUAGCCCUUGAGUAUCGGAGAGGCAAGCGGAAUUCCUAGUGUAGCGGUGAAAUGCGUAGAUAUUAGGAGGAACACCAGUGGCGAAGGCGGCUUGCUGGACGACAACUGACGCUGAGGCGCGAAAGCGUGGGGAGCAAACAGGAUUAGAUACCCUGGUA